UACCAGCACCCCGAGUGGUCGUGACGGUUAUUGGGCCUAAAGCAUCCGUAGCCGGUCCUGCAAGUCUUCCGUUAAAUCCAGCUGCUCAACAGAUGGGCUGCGGAGGAUACUACAGGGCUAGGAGGCGGGAGAGGCAAGCGGUACUUUAUGGGUAGGGGUAAAAUCCGUUGAUCCAUAGAAGACCACCAGUGGCGAAGGCGGCUUGCCAGAACGCGAUCGACGGUGAGGGAUGAAAGCUGGGGGAGCAAACAGG
rnacentral:rRNA from 1 species